rnacentral:misc_RNA from 1 species
GAAAUGCGAUAAGUAGUGUGAAUUGCAGAAUUCAGUGAAUCAUCGAAUCUUUGAACGCACAUUGCGCCCCUUGGUAUUCCAUGGGGCAUGCCUGUUCGAGCGUCAUUUGUACCCUCAAGCUCUGCUUGGUGUUGGGUGUUUGUCCCCGUCUCCGCGCGUGGACUCGCCCCGAAGUGAUUGGCAGCCGGCGUACUGGUCCCGGAGCGCAGCACAUGUCGCGCAAACGAGUGCCUUGGUACGGCGGCGUCCAUAAGCCCCUCUCUCACGCUCUUGACCUCGGAUCAGGUAGGGAUACCCGCUGAACUUAAGC